GGAGAGGUCGCCUAGUGGCCUAGGGCGCCGCACUGGAAAUGCGGUAUGGGGCAACCCAUCGCGGGUUCAAAUCCCGCCCUCUCCGCCACCC
rnacentral:tRNA from 1 species